AUUGAAAUUGAAUUGACUGCCGAUGGCUAGGUAGCUAGCUAGUUAACGUUAGUGCAACAGGUGGGCAGGUGUUGAACGGUUUCCAGCAUCACCUCUUCCUAUGACGGUGUUGACCGAACUUCGUAGCUAGCAAGCGAGAAAACAUGUUCAUAUAUCUUCUGCUAACGUUACCUUCCUUGUCACGGUCAGAUCAAUUAUCCAGCUAACACAACAUGGGAAUAUGCAUAUUUCACUAAUAUAACUAGCUACUCGUUGGAAAUUCGGGUUGCUAAGUUUAGUUCUCUUAGUAAGUCGUCAAUUGCUUUUCAUGAGAUACAUAAAAAAAAAAAUGUUUUGACACGUAGCACGUGGUCGGCGUUCCAAACAUACACAGAGAGCCAAUCACUGGCAUGCAAACAAUGACGACAGGAAAAAGUUUGCUGGUGGGAAUUUCGUUGGUGACUCAAAACGACAACAAAAAGCAUUGAGCUAAAGCUAGCUAGCUAUCAUUCCAAACAAAUGUGUGUAAGUUACUGUACAUGGAUCGUUCAAGACGAUCCAGCUAACACGGCGUGACACAACGUUUUGACCCUCACCUCUCUCUGCCACCAGUAAGCAGCUAUAUUACUUUAGUAACAAGUGACUCGAAACUUAGCAUCAGCCUUAUAUAAUAAAAUAAAGACCAGUAUACGGUUGGUUCAAUCAAUAUCCGAACUUAAACAGUAAGAUAGCUAAUAAUUUCACUGCAUGAAUUUUUUUUUUUUAGGCGUCCACAAUAUUGAAUUAAAGAACGUAGCGUAGAGGAUACGUGUGCUAGCUGUUUUCCAAGUACAAGCUGUCUACCUGACGUUAGCUGACCAUCGCUCCAGCUAGCUACCUUUCGCCAGGUUAGUUAUAAAUAAGGGUCACCAACAAGUAACGUUAGAUAAUAUUAGCUAGCUGUCUUCCUUCAAUACUUGGUGGCUUUACUGACAGACAUAACUCAUAUUAAAAGCCACCAAGCACCGACCUAAAGGCUAAGCUAGCUAUCAUACCAAACAAGUGUGUGUGUGCCUGUACGCUGUACAACAAGGAUCCUUCAAAAACUAUCCAGCCCCAGCUCUGCCAUCAGAGAACUGGAAGGAGAGACGGCCAAAGGAGGAAUUGGCUUUGGGGGUGACCAGAGAGAUAUACCUGCAGAUUAAAGGUAUUAAGAUAGAUCGUUCAACCAUUCAAUUAUUCUCAAUGGUAAUUAAUGAGUAUAUCUGUAGAUAAUUAGGUGGGCAUACUGAGUAUGCCUGUGUAUGGCCACCACUACACCUGCACCGCUGGGUGAGAUCGAAGCUGGCAGUGUUAAGUGACACUACACAGAUAGGCAGGCACAACACUUCUGCCAUUCCCUGCCUUGUAUACUGAACAAAAAUAAGCACAACAUUUUCAACGAUUUUACUGAGUUAGUUUUAUAUAAGGAAAUCAGUCAAUUGAAAUAAAUUCAUUAGGCCUUAAUCUAUGGAUUUCACAUGACUGGGCAAGAUCACAGCCAUGGGUAGGCCUGGAAGGGCAUAGGCCCACUCAGUAGGGAGCCAGGCCCAGGCAAUCAGAAUGAGUUUUUCCCCACAAAGGGGCUUUAUUACGGACAGAAAUAAUCCUCAGUUUCAUCAGCUGGGUGGCUGGUCUCAGACGAUACCGCAGAUGAAGAAGCCGUAUGUGAAAGCCCUGGGCUGGUGUGGUUACACGUGGUCUACAGUUGUGAGGCCGGUUGGACAUACUGCCAAAUUCUCAAAAAAUCACAUUGGGCACUAAUUUCAUUGAACGACUCACUUAACUACACCCACAUACAUCAUCUGCACCACCCAUGUCAAAAAUAUUAAACUGUGCUCAGGCCAGCAGGGCGCCUGGAGAAGCUGGUGAGUCUGCAGCAUUGUUCUCAAUGGACACUGUCCUACGAGGCCAGGUGUGUGAGUGAGUUUGUGUAUGCGCGUCCCCCACUAAAAUCCCAAAUAUCCAUGUGUUUCCAGGUCAAGCUGUCAGGUUCUCAACUGACUCCACAGUGCUACUCCUACAUCACCUAUGUGCAGUGUUGAGCUGGCUGGAGGAGGUGCAGAUGAUAAGAAGAUAAAGGAGGGGGGAGGCCACUACUACAGCGUCUGCCAUUCCCAACCUGAUCUACAGUAUAGAGCAGAAUGAGAAAUACCUCAUCACCCCCUCCAAGAAAUCAAAGGUGAAUCUUAUUCAGUACAUGAAGCUGAGAGAUUUCUGCAUCAACGCAGCCACUGGAGGCAGCGCUGCAGGAGCAGGACAAGUCAGCAGACCACAGCCUCUCGGGAGCCAGAGCAGAGCCAGGAGCCCAAGAGGAAGCAGUGAUGAAAAACAAUACAUCUUUCUCCCUCUAAACCGCUCAAUAGACUCCUCUCUCAACCAGUCUGGAGCUGCCCCCAUUCAUUCGGAUGAUCCACUGAGAUGGCUUGUGUUCAUUUGGGCUAACUGUAGCAAAAUAAUUGCAGCCAAAAACAAAUUAGCCUUUAUUUUUUUAAAUAUAUUUUUUAUUUUAAAUUGGACAACUCUAGAUAGUACAACUCCGCUGCUGACUGUUUUCUUCUGUUUGGUGCCUUAUGAACAUGACCCUGCAGUUCCCAUUGACGUCAUUGGUUUGACUCAGUGCCUGGGUUGGGGCAGCCCUGGAGGACCUUUAUCCCAUGAUGUCUCUGUCUGCACGAGCUACACAAUAGAGGACUGGUCUGUUCACCCUGUUAUCUCCCUUUUCCCAGAGAGCCUUUGGUGAUGUCUAUGAUUUGGUAUAUGUCCAGAGCCUCACCUGUGGAGAUUCAAUGUGUGGUUACUCUAGGUACAUUCUGUACAGAGAAAGAUACAAGAGGUUGAAGAUGUUUUUGUAUUAUCUGAUCAUUUGUUUAAAGCUUUCACUUAGCAGACUGAGAGCAUGCAACACUUUCUGCUUAUUAAUUUACUGUGAAAAUGUAACUGUAUUUAAAACAUGUUUCUAAAUUA